AUUGAACGCUGGCGGCAUGCCUUACACAUGCAAGUCGAACGGCAGCACGGGUGCUUGCACCUGGUGGCGAGUGGCGAACGGGUGAGUAAUACAUCGGAACAUGUCCUGUAGUGGGGGAUAGCCCGGCGAAAGCCGGAUUAAUACCGCAUACGAUCUACGGAUGAAAGCGGGGGACCUUCGGGCCUCGCGCUAUAGGGUUGGCCGAUGGCUGAUUAGCUAGUCGGUGGGGUAAAGGCCUACCAAGGCGACGAUCAGUAGCUGGUCUGAGAGGACGACCAGCCACACUGGGACUGAGACACGGCCCAGACUCCUACGGGAGGCAGCAGUGGGGAAUUUUGGACAAUGGGCGAAAGCCUGAUCCAGCAAUGCCGCGUGUGUGAAGAAGGCCUUCGGGUUGUAAAGCACUUUUGUCCGGAAAGAAAUCCUUGGCUCUAAUACAGUCGGGGGAUGACGGUACCGGAAGAAUAAGCACCGGCUAACUACGUG
rnacentral:rRNA from 1 species